CCCGACUCGGGGUGAGUCAAGGGGUAUUUUGGGUAUUUAGUACAUUACCGGGAUAUCGAGUAAUGGGAAUAAAUAUUUGAGGAUAUAUUCAGAGUUAGUGAGAUUAGGAGGGAAAUUUAUGAAUUUUGACCAUUUUACCCUCGGGGACAUUUUUGGUACCCCGAGCUUUGGAUUUGCUUAGAGUUACUUGAACUCUAAGUAAACUAAACACAAACAGAAAAAAAACACAGAAAAAUACAAACACCAAACUCUCUCACUCGUGUACUCUCUCUCUCUCUCUCUCUCUCUCUCUCUCUCUCAAUCCUUUGAAAUUUCUUGCGAUCUAAGGGGAAUCGAAGCUAGCUUAGGUUCAAGAUUACUUGGGGAAAGGCUUAGUGUUGUUUUGGCAGCAGAGGUAUCGAUUUAUAGCCUCAAUUCUUUAUGUUUUCUCUGGUUUUAGUUGAGUUUUAAAGUUUUGAAAACUCAAAUCUGAAUUUGAUUUUUUGAGGAGUUUUAAGUUAUUUUUUAGGGAUGGUUUUGAGGCAUAUGAAGUGUUGAGUUGAUUGAGAACUUUGUUUUAGAGAUUUGGCUAUGUUUGGUUGAGUUUUUGGUGAGUUUUGGCUUGAAGAAAACGAGGGAAAAAUUGGGUUUUCAUGUCGAGUCGCGACCCUAUUCUUGGGGCAUCGCGGCUUACAUGAACGAAAGGGAGAAGGAGGUGCUGAACGUCCAUUUGGGUCGUGGCUUGCAAGGAGAGUUGCGACGCGUGUGUUUUAGAGGAGAGCCCUUGGGCUCUCUACCUAGGGGCGGGCCGCGACUCUUGGGCCUUGGGUCGCGACGCUUGAAGGGCUUUUGAGCCCCGGGAAGGUCUUGAGUGCAGGAACUAUGACUUAGGGGCUCGAGAUCGAUUCUACUACCUGAUUUAGUAGAAUUCGACGUCCCGGAGGCUAGGACUCGGUCCAGAAGCCUUUAUUCGCUCGUUAUUGACAUGAUUCUAUAUUAUGGUUGUGACUAGGUUAUUGCUAGGGGCUCAAAAUUGGGAUCGUGCUCAAGGGUCAUUCUUAUUAUACGUUGCACUCGGACCUGAGGUAGGAAAACUACACCUACUAUGUGUUAAAUGUGAUUAUCUUCGUAAUUAGGGCUCGACCUCGUUAAGGAACAUGGUUAUUACCGUGUUUGUAUUUAAUUGGCUGAGUUAUGUGAUUAAUAUGUAUGCAUACUUGUAUUAUCUGAGGUAUGCUUAUCUAUAUCUGGUUAUUUGUUUAUUUGGUUGUCUGAAUAUCUGGUUAAGGCAUUGACUUAUUAGUCAAUGGUGGAAAUAGCGCGUAGUGUGUUGGUCAAGAGGCUUAGGCUUGAUCAAAGAUGUACUAUUACGUUGGCUGACCCUAUGGUCAUUUGGAAAAUAAAAUCAGUUGGCUAGCUCUAUGGCUAGUUACUCAGAGCUAGGGCAAAGGGCUCCGUGUGACUCUAUGGUCACUUAGCUAGGGCAUAGGGCCCUCAGUUGACUCUAUGGUCAUCUAUUCAAAGCAGUGGGCCCCAGAAUGAUCCUAUAAUCAUUUAUUUUUAAUUGUAUGCAUGCAUGAGUAGGUUAUUAUUGCUGGGCAUGCUAGAUAUGCAUAUGGAAUCUGUAUUUACUGUUCAUGCACUUGUUUAUAGUUUUCUUGCUGAGCCUUGACUCAUGGGAGAUGUGUGGUGUAGGUAAGGGGAAGGAAAAAGCUUGACCAACCUUGAGUUGGAGAGCUUCGGUGGCGACGUGUACAUAUAUGCAGCUGCUCGACCACCACAACUGGGGCAAUCUUGGAGGAACCAGAGUUGUAUCCCCUAUUUUGCCACCUAGGUAAAGGGAAAGAAAAGCUCACCUAGCCUUGAGUGGAGAGCUGAUGUGGUGAUGUGUACAUAUGCGGCCGCUUGACCACCACGGCCAAGGAGUUCUCAGAGGAACUAGGGGGUUUACCCUAUUUUUGCCGCUUAGGUCGGCAGGGUUGUAAAUUUAAAACUGUAAUGACCAUUUUGAACUGAGAACCACUUGCAAAUAUUUUGUUUAGCUCUGCAGAGCAGUUUGUAAUAAAAUAUCCAUUUCCUUUU